rnacentral:lncRNA from 1 species
AGUUGCAUAAGUCACGACACACCCUUGCAGCAACUUCUCGGACUUAGCUGGGAUUGCCUAAGUCUUGAGGCGUCCUUGCGACAUAUGCAUCCGCAAAGGUUCAGCCUAGUUGCAACCUCGUACAGGUCUCAAAGGACCUGUAAAACAAAAAGUUGAUUAGAUUGAAAACGAGCGACGGACAAGUCCCGACGUCUCGUAAAGAGGGAAGCUUUACAAGCAAUUCAGCAAGCACCUUGUGUGCACAGAAGAAAAGAGAGAAAGGAGGAAACCAAGGACUUUAGAAGGUAGAACGAACAGUCGCAAGUCCACAAACAACUGCUCACCAGGUGCCGAGUGCGAAGGCAAGUUCCCGUCAAGUCAACGUGCGAACUUGUGAAGAUUUUUCAAUGCCCGACAAUAUACCGAAGCCCCAUCCAGCCC